rnacentral:rRNA from 1 species
GACGAACGCUGGCGGCGUGCCUAAUACAUGCAAGUCGAGCGGACAGAUGGGAGCUUGCUCCCUCAUGUUAGCGGCGGACGGGUGAGUAACACGUGGGUAACCUGCCUGUAAGACUGGGAUAACUCCGGGAAACCGGGGCUAAUACCGGAUGGUUGUUUGAACCGCAUGGUUCAAAUAUAAAAGGUGGCUUCGGCUGCCACUUACAGAUGGACCCGCGGCGCAUUAGCUAGUUGGUGAGGUAACGGCUCACCAAGGCAACGAUGCGUAGCCGACCUGAGAGGGUGAUCGGCCACACUGGGACUGAGACACGGCCCAGACUCCUACGGGAGGCAGCAGUAGGGAAUCUUCCGCAAUGGACGAAAGUCUGACGGAGCAACGCCGCGUGAGUGAUGAAGGUUUUCGGAUCGUAAAGCUCUGUUGUUAGGGAAGAACAAGUACCGUUCGAAUAGGGCGGUACCUUGACGGUACCUAACCAGAAAGCCACGGCUAACUACGUGCCAGCAGCCGCAGUAA